rnacentral:lncRNA from 1 species
AGAGUGAAUGUUGGUUGCUGUUUCAGCAUGCAUUUCCCUUUUUUCUAUCACCUGGAACCUUAUUUCCAAUGAGAUAUUUACGUGCUUCUAGAUCUAAAGGUUGUCUUCUGGGAGGAGCCAAGAUGGCCUAAUAGGAAAAGCUCCGGUCUACAGCUCCCAGCGUGAGUGACGCAGAAGACGGGUGAUUUCUGCAUUUCCAUCUGAGGUACCGGGUUCAUCUCACUAGGCAGUGCCAGACAGUGGGCGCAGGUCAGUGGGUGCGCGCACCAUGCGCGAGCCAAAGCAGGGCGAGGCAUUGCCUCACUCGGGAAGCGCAAGGGGUCAGGGAGCUCCCUUUCCUAGUCAAAGAAAGGGGUGACAGACAGCACUGGAAAUUCGGGUCACUCUCACCCAAAUACUGCGCUUUUCCAACGGGCUUAAAAAACGGCGCACCAGGAGAUUAUAUCCCGCACAUGGCUCGGAGGGUCCUACACCCACAGAGUCUUGCUGAUUGCU